rnacentral:hammerhead_ribozyme from 1 species
ACAGUGUUGAAGAGUCCCAUAAUAGGAUGAAACGAUCGUCCAGUGU